GUUUGCUAAAAGAAAGCUAUAAGAUACCCGAUUGCUGGCAAGAGAGACUUCUGGUUAAGGAAUCUCUCAAGUUAACCAGAAGUCGAGUCAGUGAGUUCCACGCGCGGGCGACUUCUCUCUCAAACCCAGUCAACUGCCAAACCCUAUAUCUGCUUUCCUCUGCCUCUCCGGCGUGCUUUUCCGGCGUCGGAGAGGGCUUUGCCUUUUGUUUUUUCUUCUGGUCUUUCUCCUCUGUCCGUUGUUUCCGUUCGUGGUGGGUGAUGGCUCGCCGUAUCCUUACCUUCUCGUCCUCCAGGUGGUGGUAAAUCAAAGCUCAGGCUUCGCGUAGUGGCUAGGAUAGACGCCGCGGCUUGUUGUUGCUUCGAAUUGUGGCUCGAGGAGACCUCGUUUCGAUGGCUUUCAGAUGGUUGCUUUUAGUGGUCGUCCCUCUGUGCGUGUUAGAUCUGAGAGUUUGGUUUGUGGUUGUGGCUUUGUGGAGACAGCGGAGGGGCUCCGGACUUCCUUCACGGUGGUUAGCUCCGGCGAAUUUGUAUUUUGGAUGGUUCCGUGUCAUCUGAUUUCAGAUUCUCGCCUCUUUGGUUUUGGGUUGGUGUCCGCUUCUCACCAGAAAUCUCGGUUUGGGGAGUUUGGUGAAGCAGCAUGUGGUGAUUGGCUCGAUUUCUUCUUCCUCGCCAUGGAAAGGGCUUGGUCUGGUUCUUUGUCGACGGAUCUAGAAUUGGCCUUCUCUUUCUCGAGGCGCGGUACGGUGGUUUGGCGAGGCAUCAAAUCUGAGGUCGUCAUGAUGUCACCCAAUGGCAGCGAGGACUUGAGGACUAGUCUGGGGUCAUUGUGUGGCUGAUCUUCUUCGGCUUUUAAUGCUUUGCGAGGUUAUGGAGGAGCUAGUAAGAUCAUUGGGUCGUUUGGUGCUGUUUCGUAUUGUAAUAUUUUCGCUCUGUGCUAGCCGACUACGAGGUUGUACUUGGUAGAGGGAGCUAGUGCUAAACGUGUACAUUGGUUCGUGUGGCUCCAUCCUGAGAUCGCUCAUGGUUUCGCCGUUGACAGCUCAGUCCUUGGGCUUCCAGUGAAAGGCUUCCACUACUUUGGCUUUCGUUUUUGCAAUCUUUUCAAUAUUUCAUUACCGUCUUUCGUCUUCUGUAGCUCAUUUCGGAGGAACUUCAGAAUCGUGUAUCACUUCAUCUGACACCGUUUGCUUCAAGGCUUACGUUGAGUCGAUGGACUGAUUGUUUUUGCUUCCAUGUUUUUAUCUUUUUUUUUUGCCAUGGGACCAAAUUUUUUAGGUUUAAAAUCGAUGAUUGUAAACCUAAACAUUUCAUUUUAAUGAAUAUUUACAUUCUUAGCAAAAAAAAAAA